GUGAGAAACUAACGGCCGUUUGGCUGUCCAAUCGCGUGACUGUGGACAUUUGAAAGCAGACUUCCGCCCGCCUUUUCUACCGUUGGAAAUGCAAGAUGCGGCGACUUGACUUCAGACACCGAGAGAGGCUGGCGGCCCAGGUCUUGUGGCCACAUCUGUCCAAGCUCCUACUCUGAUUGAACAGUUGGAUGAUCAGACUGAUGAUGAAAAGUGCUACACAGUUCUCACACAUAUUCUGACUCCGAAGCCGCUGCAGUGUAAAAUCUGAGAUGUCUUUUCUGGUUGAUUUUGUACAGGUAUUUUUCAAAGGAUAGUUACUUUUAAAACGUCUUUUAAUCUUUAAAAACACUUUCAUGCAGAGCCUCUGUUAGGACCUCAUUGCGAUACAGAGUUAUGACCUUGUCACCAAAAUGUCAAUGACCAUAUUUUAACCUGCUAUUUAAGGCUGUCAUAGCCAUAUUCUUAUAACAAUGCAGUUAAGUUCAAGAGAACUAUAGUUUGGUGAUAUGGAUCCCAAACGGAAGGGAACAGCAGCGGUUUGUAGUUGUAGAGAACUAAUUAGCGCCAAGUGUUGUUAACCUGUUGUUUCUUGUUUACCUGUCACAGUAGCCCAUAGCACUUUUGUCAUAGAGAGCAACUUGGUCAGUAAAUAUGUGCCUGCUGUACAAAGUAGCAGUAUUUGGAUGAGUUACAGCUAACACGGACGGCAAACUUGAGACUGUAUAUUGUGUGGUUGACAGAUUUCUGACAGCGAUGGUGAG